GCCUCGUUAGCGCAGUUGGCAGCGCGUCAGUCUCAUAAUCUGAAGGCCGUGAGUUCGAUCCUCACACGGGGCA
rnacentral:tRNA from 1 species